rnacentral:rRNA from 1 species
AACGAACGCUGGCGGCAGGCCUAAUACAUGCAAGUCGAGCGCGCCCUUCGGGGUGAGCGGCGGACGGGUGAGUAACGCGUGGGAAUAUGCCCUUCUCUAAGGAAUAGCCUCUGGAAACGGAGAGUAAUACCUUAUACGCCCUUUGGGGGAAAGAUUUAUCGGAGAAGGAUUAGCCCGCGUUAGAUUAGGUAGUUGGUGGGGUAAUGGCCUACCAAGCCUACGAUCUAUAGCUGGUUUGAGAGGAUGAUCAGCCACACUGGGACUGAGACACGGCCCAGACUCCUACGGGAGGCAGCAGUAGGGAAUCUUAGACAAUGGGGGCAACCCUGAUCUAGCCAUGCCGCGUGUGUGAUGAAGGCCCUAGGGUCGUAAAGCACUUUCGCCAGAGAUGAUAAUGACAGUAUCUGGUAAAGAAACCCCGGCUAACUCCGUGCCAGCAGCCGCGGUAAUACGGAGGGGGUUAGCGUUGUUCGGAAUUACUGGGCGUAAAGCGCACGUAGGCGGAUUAGUAAGUUAGAGGUGAAAUCCCAGGGCUCAACCCUGGAACUGCCUUUAAUACUGCUAGUCUUGAGUUCGAGAGAGGUAAGUGGAAUUCCGAGUGUAGAGGUGAAAUUCGUA